AAGUGCUUAACAAGAUUUCUCCCGGAUCAAUUAACUGGAAGCAAGCAUCGAAGCCUCCAAUCAAGAUGCCAUUUAGAAAAUUGGAGAACUGUAUCAAGUUAUAAAAAUUGGAAGACAAUUAAAAUUGUAUCUUGUCAAUGUAGGGGGAAAUUAUAUUGUGCAAGGGAAUAAGAAGCACAUUCUUACUGUUAAUUCAAUUUCCUUCAAAUUCAGCAAAUGUCGUUUCAUUGUCUGGCCUGACCUCCUCUCUGGCACUACCUCCUCACAGCCUUUUACCACUGGCUUCACUCUCUAACCUGGAAAAUCAAGAUCCGCUUCCAUUCCACCAUCAGGAGCGAAGAACUCUCUGUUCUCGACAUUCCUACGGUAAAUUCUCGUCUUAUUGUCGAUUAUGGCUCCGGUAAGCUAGAGUGCGGCGGAAGCGGCGCUAUUUUGCCGGCGACUUUGGCUGAGUUUACUCUCAACGAUGCCGAAGGUUUAGAUUUCUACGACCUUAGCUUAGUCGACGUUAUAAUCUUCUGAUGCUUGUGAUUUCGAAGAAAGCUACUAACGGGAGGUGCGAUGCGAUGCCACCGGCUGUUUGAUUGACCUAAAAGAAAAAGGAAGAUGAUUUGAAAAUUUCACUGCGUGUUGGGAAGAAGAGGGUAUACUUGUCUUAUUUCAAUAUUAAAUUAGCUUGUUUUAAGUUUUGAGGUAUUUGUGAAAACAAUUUUUUUUUGAUUGAGAGAUUUAUGCAUAUUUUUUAUAGGUGAUGUAUUUAUGAAAAUGAAUGGACUAUAUGAGUGAUUUGUGUGCUUAGCCCUAA